rnacentral:rRNA from 1 species
GACGAACGCUGGCGGCGUGCCUAAUACAUGCAAGUCGUGCGGACCUUGUUGAAAGCUUGCUUUUAAAAGGUUAGCGGCGGACGGGUGAGUAACACGUGGGCAACCUGCCUGUAAGACUGGGAUAACGCCGGGAAACCGGGGCUAAUACCAGAUCGUUUUUUCCUCCGCAUGGAGGAAAAAGGAAAGGCGGCUUCGGCUGCCACUUACAGAUGGGCCCGCGGCGCAUUAGCUAGUUGGCGGGGUAAUGGCCCACCAAGGCAACGAUGCGUAGCCGACCUGAGAGGGUGAUCGGCCACAUUGGGACUGAGACACGGCCCAAACUCCUACGGGAGGCAGCAGUAGGGAAUCUUCCGCAAUGGACGAAAGUCUGACGGAGCAACGCCGCGUGAGUGAAGAAGGCCUUCGGGUCGUAAAACUCUGUUGCCGGGGAAGAACAAGUGCCGUUCGAACAGGGCGGCGCCUUGACGGUACCCGGCCAGAAAGCCACGGCUAACUACGAG